rnacentral:rRNA from 4 species
AUGCAUGUCUAAGUAUAAGCACUUGUACUGUGAAACUGCGAAUGGCUCAUUAAAUCAGUUAUCGUUUAUUUGAUUGUACCCUUACUACUUGGAUAACCGUAGUAAUUCUAGAGCUAAUACAUGCGAAAAGUCCCGACUCUUUACGGAAGGGAUGUAUUUAUUAGAUUAAAAACCAAUGCGGCUGGCAUAUGCUGGCCGGAUCGUUGGUGAUUCAUAGUAACUUUUCGAAUCGCAGGGCCUUUCUGUGCCGGCGAUGUUUCAUUCAAAUUUCUGCCCUAUCAACUUUCGAUGGUAAGGUAGUGGCUUACCAUGGUGACAACGGGUGACGGAGAAUUAGGGUUCGAUUCCGGAGAGGGAGCCUGAGAAACGGCUACCACA